AUCCAGGGGUAGGGAAGCGCAGAGAAGUUGGUCUUGGGAACCCAGGGCGAGGAGGCCGGAGGAGGAGGCUGGCAGCCCUCAUCCUGUGCAGGAGGCCAUGUCCCGCCCAGGGCUGUCUUCUAAGCUGGGAAGAGUUAACACACGGAGGGGCCCUGGGGGGGUGGGGCACAAGGAGCCCCAUCUCGGACCCCUCCUGGUGAGGGCGACAGGGUGGAGAGCAGCCCCAGCCCCUCCUCUUACAAGACCGCUUUCCAGGGGCCUUUGACCACGGGAGGGCCCUGCAAGGGUGUUUCAGCCCCUUUCUCUUGGAACCCUAGACGGGAUGGGAGGAGGGGAUGGGAGGAGGAGCUCAGGAGAUGGGUGGCUGUCAGCCAGCUCUCAGGUGACAGGAACCUCAUGAAGUCGUGUUCUGGGAAAGCUUUCAUUUUCCAGCCAGUGGAAAAGAGGCCCAGAGAGGGUAAGCAACUGCCCAAAGCCACACAGCAAGUCCUGAGGCACUGCUCAAUCAUCUUAAUUCCCAGAGGGCUUCCCAAGCCCCACUCCACGCUUGCACACAUGCAGGUAAACACACAAGCACACGCACAAUCAUGCACAUGCAUAAGUACAUGCCCGCACGUGUGGACACACUCGUACACAGGCAUGUGCACACACACGCACACACCUAUACACAUGAGCAUGCACACUGCCCACGUGCUCACAUGUACACAAAUUUACACUCAUAUAUGCGCACACUCGCACACACACAUGCACAGAAGCUUCCUGUGCCCCAAACCUGCCCGCCUCUCCAGCCGCGUGACCCUCCUCCUCCUCUUCUGUUGGGAACCCACCCUGUGCCAAGCUGGUCCUUCUGCAAAGGUGACACCCCCGCGCCCCGCCACCCUGCGCCCAGCCACCUGGGAGCCUGGGUCCUUUGAAACUGCGCUUGGACGUCCUCUCCUCCAGCCGCCUUCCAGGGCCAGCUGCCAGGAGGAGCGUCCAGCGACGGGCCAGACAACAAAGCCACUGAAUCUUAGGGCAGCCUAGAGGUCAAGGGCAUGACCUCAACACACACACACAACUUCUGAGGUCAGAAAGACCUGAGUUCAAAUCCAAGCCUGCUGCUGUCUUGCUGUGUGGACUUGGGCAGAUCACCUCCCCUCUCUGGGCUUCCCUGUUCCUUGUAUGAAAUGAAGGUCUGUCUCCUGCAGUCCUGUGUGUCCCUGGCCUGCGCCUCCUUCUCCUGCCCCGCUGACCCCUCUGUCCCAGGGCCUGUCUCUUCUCCCUGCUCCGUCAGGAAACCAGAGCCCUCCAGCCUCCCAGGCCCUCGGGGACUCUUCAGGCCCCCACCCCUGCCCCAACCCUCGGCCUCCCCUGACCGCUAGCCUCCGUCUUUCUCUAUAAAGGCCUCUAUUUUCCAGAAGACUCUGUGUGCACCCCAAACCCUAAGGAGAAAGAAAUAAGGCCAGCCUGGGUCAGAUGCACUGCCCUCCACACCCUGGCCCCCAGGGCCCCUGGGGUCCCCAUCAGAGCCCAGCCGAGAAGCCUCCGGUGACCCCUCCAUGUCCCCUACCUGGGGGUUGGUGACGAGGAAUUCCCUGACAGCCUCCCUGAGUCACCAGUGACUUGCUCUGGCCCCGUCUGCUCGGCCUUCCUCCGCCUCCGUCCCUCCUCUGUCCGUCUCCUCGCGUGGCUUCCUGGACUGCACCCACUUUGCCUACGGGAAGACCGAGGCCCCAAGCUGCCCAGUGCCCUGGCCCUGCCUCCACGGCCAGGGUCGGGGGCUCAGAACCUGGAGGCCGAAGCCCGUCAAGGACCCGCAGAGCCGCGUGAUGCUCGCGGUCAGGGCAGUGGACCCCGGAGGCCCAGGGGGGAGGCUGCAGCGUCAGCUGGCCGACCCCGUGUCCACGACCCGUGGGUCCAAGCUCUGGGCUCCGGGGCUGCCCUUGGUUUUCAUAAAGACCCACGUGGUGUGAAUGAUUCCCACCCCUCCUCAGACAUUGUUGUAAGACGCCCCCAUCUGCAGUGGCUCUGUGGGGGGCUUGGGGUUUGCUGGUGACGUGGGGGGGAGUGUGGGGGACCCCAGAGCCUUGGAGGCCCCCGCCCACCCCCGCUCACAUCGGGCAGGAGAUGCCGGUUGCUUCUGGGUAUUUUCACAAGGAGGUGGUAGGUACCUUUUUUUUAAUGUGGGUCAUCAAGACUUUCUGGGUUUUGGAAACACGAGGACUUCGUCAUAGCAACGGGGCUGCCUUUCCUAUUUUUGAAAAGUGAGCUCCCCACUCCUCCCCUAGGUGCAGAAAGUUUACUUUCCUGCCAGGGAUUCUGACUCAGGGGCACACGCAGAGCUCAGGGGCAGGGGCUGGGCCCAGGCCCAGUGGGGGAUGCCAAAGGGCCCGGGCCUAGGACCCCCCACCAUCACUGCAGGAACCCCAGGCCCUGGGCUCCCCAUUCCCCCUGCACAGACCUCUGCCAAGCUGCACGUCUUCAGAAGAGCCCCAGAGGCACUGCUGGGGAAUUGUGCAGUCCUGUGAAUAUUAAAACAUCGCCUGACCCGUCGGGGAAGCCCACCACACCUCCCAGGACCCCCCAGGACCCAGGAACUAAAGGCGUAACCCUGGCAAGUAAGGCACACAGGAUCCGGACGCAGAGCCCAGCUCUUGUCAGAUGAUGAAUACGAUAUAAUCACAGCCAGGAGACUUCAAGGUCGCAGAUGGGAGAGGUGCAGAGCACAUCGAAGGGAUCAGCAUGGUUUAACCCAGCAGAUGAGACCCAGGGGAGACAUCAGGCCCCGCCCUCCCAGAGCCGGUUAGGCUUGGCGCUCCCUCUGUUGUGCACACCGUGACCUCAGCUGCUUCUCAUUAUACGACAGCGGUGGAGGAAGCAGACAGGACCGGAGGCGAUGCAGGAGCGGAGCGCUGGACAAGCCAUCCCAGGACAGGGGUUCAAGCCUCUGCUGGCUUCAAACAAGCUGCACCCCUUAGUCGAGUCGCCUCCUGCCUCCAGAUGUCGGUUUUCUCCUCUAUAAAAAGAGCACACUGUUUUUCUAGCCCCGAUGGACUAGGGUAAAUGAGGACCUGCUGUCUUCAUUUUUGCCCUUCCUAUUGACUCCCCAGCACAGCACCUGCCCCCCAGGAAUCUCCCAAGCUGUUCUGCCCCCAAAGGCAAGGUCUAAGUUGAUGCUCUUCAACCACCUAAUAGGAGAUUUCCCCAGAAGGCCUCCUGAGCGUACAGCGCUCCCCGCCCUCUGCAACCUUGAACUUCUUCAAGUGUGAGUCUUUUUCUUUUUUAUAUACCGGGGAUUGGACUCAAGGGCACUAUACCACUGAGCUACAUCCCCAGCCCUUUUUAUUCAUUUUUAUUUAUUUAUUUGAGACAGAGUCUUACUUAACUGCUGAGGCUGGGCCUCCAACUCACAAUCCUUCUAUCUCAGCCUCCCAGAAUCACCAGGAAUAAAGACAUUUGUGCCACCACGCCCUGCCUCAAGUGUGAGAUUUUUUUAAUUGACCAUCCACCAGAUGCCAGGUGCUAGUGUUUUGGCAAUAAGAGAGACAGUGUCCAGCUGUCUUGAGCUUACAGAAUGGACAAUAAUGAUCAAUUAUGGACCACAGGUCCUAUGGUAGGGGAUCCCCACAGAAUGCUUUUAUGUAAGUCUCGCAGGACUCUC